AACGAACGCUGGCGGCAGGCUUAACACAUGCAAGUCGAACGCAUCCUUCGGGGUGAGUGGCAGACGGGUGAGUAACGCGUGGGAACAUGCCCUUCAGUUCGGAAUAACCCAGGGAAACUUGGGCUAAUACCGGAUACGUGCGAGAGCAGAAAGAUUUAUCGCUGAAGGAGUGGCCCGCGUCUGAUUAGCUAGUUGGUGAGGUAAAGGCUCACCAAGGCGACGAUCAGUAGCUGGUCUGAGAGGAUGAUCAGCCACACUGGGACUGAGACACGGCCCAGACUCCUACGGGAGGCAGCAGUGGGGAAUAUUGGACAAUGGGCGCAAGCCUGAUCCAGCCAUGCCGCGUGAGUGAUGAAGGCCUUAGGGUUGUAAAGCUCUUUCAGCUGGGAAGAUAAUGACGGUACCAGCAGAAGAAGCCCCGGCUAACUCCGUGCCAGCCGCCGCAGUAACAC
rnacentral:rRNA from 1 species